rnacentral:rRNA from 1 species
UACGUAGGGUGCAAGCGUUAAUCGGAAUUACUGGGCGUAAAGCGUGCGCAGGCGGUGAUGUAAGACAGAUGUGAAAUCCCCGGGCUCAACCUGGGAACUGCAUUUGUGACUGCAUCGCUGGAGUGCGGCAGAGGGGGAUGGAAUUCCGCGUGUAGCAGUGAAAUGCGUAGAUAUGCGGAGGAACACCGAUGGCGAAGGCAAUACCCUGGGCCUGCACUGACGCUCAUGCACGAAAGCGUGGGGAGCAAACAGG